GGCGCCGUGGCUUAGCUGGUUCAAGUGCCUUUCUUGUAAAGAGGAGAUCCUGCGUUCAAAUCCCAGCUGUGCCU
rfam:Larimichthys crocea isolate SSNF unplaced genomic scaffold scaffold6, whole genome shotgun sequence.